AACGGCCGUACCAUGCUGAAUAUACCGGUUCUCAUUAGAUCACCGAAGUUAAGCAUCAUUGGGCGCAGUCAGUACUUGGGUGGGUGACCACCUGGGAACACUGCGUGCCGUU
rnacentral:rRNA from 1 species